rnacentral:rRNA from 1 species
CACGAACGCUGGCGGCAGGCUUAACACAUGCAAGUCGAGCGCCCCGCAAGGGGAGCGGCAGACGGGUGAGUAACGCGUGGGAAUCUACCCAUCUCUACGGAAUAACGCAUGGAAACGUGUGCUAAUACCGUAUACGUCCUUCGGGAGAAAGAUUUAUCGGAUAUGGAUGAGCCCGCGUUGGAUUAGCUAGUUGGCGGGGGAAAGGCCGACCAAGGCGACGAUCCAUAGCUGGUCUGAGAGGAUGAUCAGCCACACUGGGACUGAGACACGGCCCAGACUCCUACGGGAGGCAGCAGUGGGGAAUAUUGGACAAUGGGCGCAAGCCUGAUCCAGCCAUGCCGCGUGAGUGAUGAAGGCCCUAGGGUUGUAAAGCUCUUUCACCGGUGAAGAUAAUGACGGUAACCGGAGAAGAAGCCCCGGCUAACUUCGUGCCAGCCGCCGCAGUAAAAC